rnacentral:rRNA from 1 species
GGGUUGUGAGGUUAAGCGACUAAGCGUACACGGUGGAUGCCCUGGCAGUCAGAGGCGAUGAAGGACGUGCUAAUCUGCGAUAAGCGUCGGUAAGGUGAUAUGAACCGUUAUAACCGGCGAUUUCCGAAUGGGGAAACCCAGUGUGAUUCGUCACACUAUCAUUAACUGAAUCCAUAGGUUAAUGAGGCGAACCGGGGGAACUGAAACAUCUAAGUACCCCGAGGAAAAGAAAUCAACCGAGAUUCCCCCAGUAGCGGCGAGCGAACGGGGAGGAGCCCAGAGCCUGAAUCAGUGUGUGUGUUAGUGGAAGCGUCUGGAAAGGCGCGCGAUACAGGGUGACAGCCCCGUACACAAAAAUGCACAUGCUGUGAGCUCGAUGAGUAGGGCGGGACACGUGGUAUCCUGUCUGAAUAUGGGGGGACCAUCCUCCAAGGCUAAAUACUCCUGACUGACCGAUAGUGAACCAGUACCGUGAGGGAAAGGCGAAAAGAACCCCGGCGAGGGGAGUGAAAAAGAACCUGAAACCGUGUACGUACAAGCAGUGGGAGCACAGAGCAAUCUGUGUGACUGCGUACCUUUUGUAUAAUGGGUCAGCGACUUAUAUUCUGUAGCAAGGUUAACCGAAUAGGGGAGCCGAAGGGAAACCGAGUCUUAACCGGGCGUUAAGUUGCAGGGUAUAGACCCGAAACCCGGUGAUUCAGCCAUGGGCAGGUUGAAGGUUGGGUAACACUAACUGGAGGACCGAACCGACUAAUGUUGAAAAAUUAGCGGAUGACUUGUGGCUGGGGGUGAAAGGCCAAUCAAACCGGGAGAUAGCUGGUUCUCCCCGAAAGCUAUUUAGGUAGCGCCUCGUGAAUUCAUCUCCGGGGGUAGAGCACUGUUUCGGCAAGGGGGUCAUCCCGACUUACCAACCCGAUGCAAACUGCGAAUACCGGAGAAUGUUAUCACGGGAGACACACGGCGGGUGCUAACGUCCGUCGUGAAGAGGGAAACAACCCAGACCGCCAGCUAAGGUCCCAAAGUCAUGGUUAAGUGGGAAACGAUGUGGGAAGGCCCAGACAGCCAGGAUGUUGGCUUAGAAGCAGCCAUCAUUUAAAGAAAGCGUAAUAGCUCACUGGUCGAGUCGGCCUGCGCGGAAGAUGUAACGGGGCUAAACCAUGCACCGAAGCUGCGGCAGCGACACUGUGUGUUGUUGGGUAGGGGAGCGUUCUGUAAGCCUGUGAAGGUGUGCUGUGAGGCAUGCUGGAGGUAUCAGAAGUGCGAAUGCUGACAUAAGUAACGAUAAAGCGGGUGAAAAGCCCGCUCGCCGGAAGACCAAGGGUUCCUGUCCAACGUUAAUCGGGGCAGGGUGAGUCGACCCCUAAGGCGAGGCCGAAAGGCGUAGUCGAUGGGAAACAGGUUAAUAUUCCUGUACUUGGUGUUACUGCGAAGGGGGGACGGAGAAGGCUAUGUUGGCCGGGCGACGGUUGUCCCGGUUUAAGCGUGUAGGCUGGUUUUCCAGGCAAAUCCGGAAAAUCAAGGCUGAGGCGUGAUGACGAGGCACUACGGUGCUGAAGCAACAAAUGCCCUGCUUCCGGUGAAAAGCCUCUAAGCAUCAGGUAACAUCAAAUCGUACCCCAAACCGACACAGGUGGUCAGGUAGAGAAUACCAAGGCGCUUGAGAGAACUCGGGUGAAGGAACUAGGCAAAAUGGUGCCGUAACUUCGGGAGAAGGCACGCUGAUAUGUAGGUGAAGUCCCUCGCGGAUGGAGCUGAAAUCAGUCGAAGAUACCAGCUGGCUGCAACUGUUUAUUAAAAACACAGCACUGUGCAAACACGAAAGUGGACGUAUACGGUGUGACGCCUGCCCGGUGCCGGAAGGUUAAUUGAUGGGGUCAGCGCAAGCGAAGCUCUUGAUCGAAGCCCCGGUAAACGGCGGCCGUAACUAUAACGGUCCUAAGGUAGCGAAAUUCCUUGUCGGGUAAGUUCCGACCUGCACGAAUGGCGUAAUGAUGGCCAGGCUGUCUCCACCCGAGACUCAGUGAAAUUGAACUCGCUGUGAAGAUGCAGUGUACCCGCGGCAAGACGGAAAGACCCCGUGAACCUUUACUAUAGCUUGACACUGAACAUUGAGCCUUGAUGUGUAGGAUAGGUGGGAGGCUUUGAAGUGUGGACGCCAGUCUGCAUGGAGCCGACCUUGAAAUACCACCCUUUAAUGUUUGAUGUUCUAACGUGGACCCGUGAUCCGGGUUGCGGACAGUGUCUGGUGGGUAGUUUGACUGGGGCGGUCUCCUCCUAAAGAGUAACGGAGGAGCACGAAGGUUGGCUAAUCCUGGUCGGACAUCAGGAGGUUAGUGCAAUGGCAUAAGCCAGCUUGACUGCGAGCGUGACGGCGCGAGCAGGUGCGAAAGCAGGUCAUAGUGAUCCGGUGGUUCUGAAUGGAAGGGCCAUCGCUCAACGGAUAAAAGGUACUCCGGGGAUAACAGGCUGAUACCGCCCAAGAGUUCAUAUCGACGGCGGUGUUUGGCACCUCGAUGUCGGCUCAUCACAUCCUGGGGCUGAAGUAGGUCCCAAGGGUAUGGCUGUUCGCCAUUUAAAGUGGUACGCGAGCUGGGUUUAGAACGUCGUGAGACAGUUCGGUCCCUAUCUGCCGUGGGCGCUGGAGAACUGAGGGGGGCUGCUCCUAGUACGAGAGGACCGGAGUGGACGCAUCACUGGUGUUCGGGUUGUCAUGCCAAUGGCACUGCCCGGUAGCUAAAUGCGGAAGAGAUAAGUGCUGAAAGCAUCUAAGCACGAAACUUGCCCCGAGAUGAGUUCUCCCUGACCCUUUAAGGGUCCUGAAGGAACGUUGAAGACGACGACGUUGAUAGGCCGGGUGUGUAAGCGCAGCGAUGCGUUGAGCUAACCGGUACUAAUGAACCGUGAGGCUUAACCUUACAACGCCGAAGGUGUUU